GUAUUUCUUAGUAAGGGUGCUAGUUCAGUUUCGAGGGUGUUCCCUUUUGUGUUUGCCUUAUGAAGUUCAAGCUUGCUGAGCUAAUUGAACUAGGUUGGUUAUGCCAUUUUCCUCAAAUGUUGCAUUUCUAAAUAGUCUGAACGUGUAGCUGAGAUAGAAAAUAGGUUGAGAAUGUGUUGGCUGGCUGUUGCUGCAGUAUUAAGGAUUGAAAACUUAAAUAGAGUAAUGGAUGUUGUUGCCUUGAUUAAUGCAGGUUGAACAAUGGAAGAAGAUGGGAGAAUUAAAGCCUCCGGUGAAUUCCAUAGUGAAAAAUGGGAGUGAAAGUAGUAUACUACUAUUUGUUGGCUGAAUUGUAGGAUAAGAGAAAAGGAUUGUUAGGCUUGGCAGCACAAGGUAUGGGGCUGGAUUGGACUGCUCCAGCUACAUGGAGGGAAGGUACAGUGGGAAUAGAGCUGGUGUUGCAGCCAUCACGCACCUUCUUUUUCUUUUUCUUUCUUUUCCUUGCUAGCUGAUGUUGUGGUAUCUCUGGCUUUGUUAUUUAAUCGUG
rnacentral:lncRNA from 1 species